AUAUCUCUCUGUACGGGAAGGAUGAGAAGCUUCGACUAAGGUUCGAUUCGAGCGUCAGCGAGAAAGCGUUGCCGCAGGC
rnacentral:sRNA from 4 species